rnacentral:rRNA from 1 species
GAUGAACGCUGGCGGCGUGCCUAAUACAUGCAAGUCGAGCGAACGGACGAGAAGCUUGCUUCUCUGAUGUUAGCGGCGGACGGGUGAGUAACACGUGUAUAACCUACCUAUAAGACUGGGAUAACUUCGGGAAACCGGAGCUAAUACCGUAUAAUAUUUUGAACCGCAUGGUUCAAAAGUGAAAGACGGUCUUGCUGUCACUUAUAGAUGGAUCCGCGCUGCAUUAGCUAGUUGGUAAGGUAACGGCUUACCAAGGCAACGAUGCAUAGCCGACCUGAGAGGGUGAUCGGCCACACUGGAAGUGAGGCACGGUCCAGGCUCCUACGGGAGGCAGCAGUAGGGAAUCGUCCGCAAUGGGCGAAAGCCUGACGGAGCAACGCCGCGUGAGUGAUGAAGGUCUUCGGAUCGUAAAACUCUGUUAUUAGGGAAGAACAUAUGUGUAAGUAACUGUGCACAUCUUGACGGUACCUAAUCAGAAAGCCACGGCUAACUACGUG